ACACAUCAUUGUAUUAUCUUCCCUGGCUAACCUUGACAGAGAAAGAGAAAGGUGUUGGUUUUUAUAAAGCUUUGCGAUCUCUCUCUCUUUAACACCUCUUCCUGCUGUAUGUAUGUAGAAGCAUCCAACCAGGAGUCAUCUCCUAGCCAGGAGUCAUCUCUAGCCAGGAGUCAUCUCUAGCCAGGAGUCAUCUCUAGCCAGGAGUCAUCUCUAGCCAGGAGUCAUCUCUAGCUUGACUUAGAUAGCUUAAGGCCAGGAACUUGGAUCUACAUGGAGAGGAGGGCAGGAUGUGUCCUUACACUUCACUAUUGACUGACUGCGGUUGCUACACAACAUAACAACUUUCCUGAUCAUGUGGGCUCUACAGAUUCAAAAGCUAAUGUUCUAUCUUCACUCAAGGGACUAAAAACAAACACCCCCAACACCAACUAACCACUGUCUUAUGAUUUGGCUCUAACACUGGCGACAAAUAUGAAAUGUAACAAGGCCUAAAUGUUCUGUGGGGGUUAAAAACAUCCCCAUUUUGUCUGUGAAUCAUUGUACUGUAUUUGCCCACUUGUUGAAAUGGAAUCCAUAUUUGUAGCACAUUCCUUUAGUGACAGUUCUCUUUAAGAUAGUGGAUAGAUAGCAUAAUUGCUAUGGGAACAUCAGAUAUGGCUGUGAUAGGAGAUAAUUUAGUGUUAUGAUCCAAACCACCGCUGGCUGGCUGGUUGGCUGCUGCCGCACAGCUCUCACCACACCACCAGUCCUGGGUGUGUAAUCACCCUCUGGUCAACCUCACAACCUCACUGGAAGGAUAUGCCAACACACCCUUUAUAGGAGUGCAUCUCUUUAUGGUGUCUCUCAAGCUCUGCUAUUUUCUCUAGUAUUGAAAUUAGGAAACCAUGAAAUUAUUUGAAUCACCAGUUACUUUUGGCAUCAUGUACAGUCAUUGAAGAUCAGGGUGGUCACGUGGGGCACAUUGGAAAAGCACCUCUUGUCUGUGAGCCAUAUAUGAUCGGCCAUUACAUUUAUAGUGCGCUACUUUUGCCCAAGACCCAUAGGGCUCUGGUUGAAAGAAAUGCACUAUAUAAGGCAUAGUGUGUCAUUUGGGAUACACACACAGUGUCCUCUACUGAGCCGGUGUCCUCUACUGAGCCGGUGUCCUCUUACUGAGUCGGUGUCCUCUUACUGAGUCGGUGUCCUCUAUUGAGCCGGUGUCCUCUAUUGAGCCGGUGUCCUCUACUGAGCCGAUGUCCUCUUACUGAGUCGGUGUCCUCUACUGAGCCGGUGUCCUCUUACUGAGUCGGUGUCCUCUUACUGAGUCGGUGUCCUCUAUUGAGCCGGUGUCCUCUAUUGAGCCGGUGUCCUCUACUGAGCCGGUGUCCUCUUACUGAGUCGGUGUCCUCUUACUGAGUCGGUGUCCUCUUACUGAGUCGGUGUCCUCUUACUGAGCCGGUGUCCUCUUACUGAGCCGGUGUCCGAUACUGAGCCGGUGUCCGAUACUGAGCCGGUGUCCGAUACUGAGCCGGUGUCCUCUAUUGAGCCGGUGUCCUCUAUUGAGCCGGUGUCCUCUACUGAGCCGGUGUCCGAUACCGAGCCGGUGUCCGAUACUGAGCCAGACCUGUUGGAAUGGGUUUGGUGGGGAGAGGCAAAGAGAUAGGUAGUUGUUGAGUGAUCUAAUGGCUCCACUCAUUGGCUUUGAAUAUGUUGAAAUAAAGGAUUGUUCAUGUUUGAUAUGAGGUAUGUAGAGAA